UUAAAGUGUCCAUAUACUCCACAAUCGAAGCAUAUAGUAGACAAUCCCUCAUAUUCCACUCUCUGUAGGCGCCCAACCAGUAUGAACUUAGAAAUGAGUGGUUUAGUCAGAUCAAUUCCAACUACCAAUCAAGCAAACUUGCCAUGUUCAGCGGAUUCAGUGUUAUAGUCAAUGCAAAAUACCUUUCCUAUCACCCUGGAGAUAGCUCUGAGCACACUUUUAUGGUAACAAUGGAUAGGGAGACCAGGAAAUCGCACCCAACCCACAACAUUAGUGACAUCCACAUUUGCAAUAGAGAAACUGAGGGACCAAGGCUGCACCGUGAGGUAAUGGCCAUAUA
rnacentral:lncRNA from 1 species